CGCCGCGGGUACAACUCGGGGGCGCCCUUCGGGGCCGUCUCUCGGGCCCGCGGCGCGGUCUCGCGCGCGGGAGGUGGAGCGCACUUCUCCUCGAGUAGGACGCCGCGACCCGCUGGGUGUCGGUCUGAGGCUCGGGUGCGAGUCCGUGUCGCGGUUCGCCGCGUCGCGGAGCCCCGGUGUCCCGACCGACCGCUCGGCGGUCGAACGUGAGGAACAGGCCCGCGCUACUCUUGGCGCGCCCGCGUCGCUUGCGAGCGUCCGGCCGAACCCGUCGUGCGGACUCGUCCGCCGCGGGCCGGUCGGCGUUGUCGGCUUGCGGACUUCUCGGGCAGCGGUCUACUCCUGUCUGCGGCGCUCAAAGCUGGGCGGCCCACCCGGCCCGUCUUGAAACACGGACCAAGGAGUCUAACAUGUGCGCGAGUCAUUGGGUCCGACUAAACCCAAGGGCGCAUUGAACGAGAAGGCCGGCGCAUGCCGGCCGAGGGAGGAUGGGGCCUCGCUCGCGGGGCCCCC
rnacentral:rRNA from 1 species